rnacentral:misc_RNA from 1 species
UCACAGAAGGCGCGGACGUAUUCUACUGUCUCAUGGCACUCCUGUUGCUCACAGAGGUAUGCCAGUUUCAUGAAGGCGGGGAACGUUCCCCAUUGUCAACGCGGCGGCGACUUAUGUUGGCUUCUCUUUCUCCUGCUACGCGAAAAUUAGCGUUGACGGGUGAAGGACUCACGAUCGGAUCAGUUUCAUUUAGGAACGGAGGAACUGAGAUGAAUAUCACCAUCGCUAACGAUGGACCGCCUCCUCCUGUCGGCUGGUGGCGCUACUCGGGCACUGUUACAGUUGCAGGACACAAUGCCCCCUUGGGUGCUUGCGGUGUUAUUAGCACAGUUAAAAAUGCGUGGUCAGUGUGCAGAGUAACACGCGUUGAGCUCACUAGUGACGAUGGGGUUGACGCUGUAGUGCAGCGGCAAAUACUAUACAUUCUUGGCCUUCUUCAAAACGAAGUCAUCUCAUUAUGUCUGGGCAAACUGCGAAUGAAAAACGCUGACUUGGCACCUUGUCUACCAUCGCUGAACUCCCUUUCUCUUUAUGGCUGUGAUGGUAGAAUUGAGAAAUGGCUCAGCGCACUUAGCACAGCAGCGGAGAUAGUCGAAAUAUCGGAUUGCUUUUCUCUCUCAGACGCAACGUUUAAAUCUAUGCCAACGACCUCAGUGGACCGUCUGGUUCUCGACAACACAAAUGUGGCUGCCUCUUUUCUGGAGCACCUGAAAUGCAGGCAUUCGGUGCGGACACUGAGCUUGAUGGACUGCCGCAAGAUCGACACUUUGCAAGUAGGUGCUUUCCCACAGUUGCGACGUCUACUACUGUGCCGCACUCCCGUAGCAAGUGAAUCGCUGGAAGGUGUUGAAAAAUGCCAUCAUCUUCAGAUUGUGAAUCUGGGAGGGUGCCAAGAGGUUGUUGAUGUCAACGUGCUUGGGGCAUUGAAACAGCUUCGUGAGCUUUUCUUGCACGAAACAUCUGUAACCAAUGCUGGUAUUGCAGCGCUUGCCAAUUGCAAACGACUCGAAAAGCUCAAUUUAGGUGGCUGCGUUCAUGUUUCCAACGUCAACCAUCUCGGGAGAUUGGCUAAUCUUUUGGAGCUGCAUCUUUGGAGUACGAAGGUGACGAAUUCAGGUAUAGAGGGUCUGGCCUCGUGCUGUUCACUAGUGGAGCUUGUCUUGGACGACUGCGUCCGAAUUACAGAUGUUUUACCACUUGGCUGCUUGCAGUCGAUUCGAUGGCUCUCACUGAUUGGCACAGAGGUCGAUGCCCCGGGCGUCAAGGGACUGAUUCAUUGUGAGAAAUUAGAGACUUUGGCUCUUGGUGGAACGCGAAUUGCUCAUCCACCGAAGCUGUGGAGACACGAGGCUAUUGUUGAAUAUCUCGGAAAUCUUACCUGAUCGGUGCGGCCAGGGGCGGAGGGGAAGGAGCCACCUGCUUCUGAUUGUCAAUCCAUCAUGUUGAGGAGUACUGCUCACAAGAAGAAAAAAAAUAAGUAGUAGUGAAAUCGACGGCUGCUGUGGAGUUUUCUCAGUGAAAUGUGAAGCGAGCUUCUGAUGCAGUGGAGUACGUUUUAUGCGCUGAAGAAGCAGGGGCUAGUGAUCGCACUGGGCCGCCGCUACGGUGAAAGUGCUAAAUUGUCGCCUGUAAGCCUUGAUGUCGGCCCCUAGAACUAGGUAUGAACAGAGCUCCUUACUGUUCACUUCCUUUUUUUUCUUUCCUUUGACUGCCUCGCGACGAGCCUGCUCAUGAAUUUUUGCUGAUG